rnacentral:rRNA from 1 species
GGCCGCAGAGACCAGCGAGAAGCGACUGUUUACUAAAAACACAGGUCCGUGCGAAGCCGUAAGGCGAUGUAUACGGACUGACGCCUGCCCGGUGCUGGAACGUUAAGGGGACCGGUUAGCUGACUUUCGGGUUGGCGAAGCUGAGAACUUAAGCGCCAGUAAACGGCGGUGGUAACUAUAACCAUCCUAAGGUAGCGAAAUUCCUUGUCGGGUAAGUUCCGACCUGCACGAAUGGCGUAACGACUUCUCGACUGUCUCAACCAUAGGCCCGGUGAAAUUGCAUUACGAGUAAAGAUGCUCGUUUCGCGCAGCAGGACGGAAAGACCCCGGGACCUUUACUACAGUUUGAUAUUGGUGUUCGGUUCGGCUUGUGUAGGAUAGGUGGGAGACUGUGAAGCGGCCACGCCAGUGGUUGUGGAGUCGUUGUUGAAAUACCACUCUGGUCGUGCUGGAUGUCUAACCCGGGUCCGUGAUCCGGAUCGGGGACAGUGUCUGAUGGGUAGUUUAACUGGGGCGGUUGCCUCCUAAAGAGUAACGGAGGCGCCCAAAGGUUCCCUCAGCCUGGUUGGUAAUCAGGUGGUGAGUGUAAGUGCACAAGGGAGCUUGACUGUGAGACCGACGGGUCGAGCAGGGACGAAAGUCGGGACUAGUGAUCCGGCGGUGGCUUGUGGAAGCGCCGUCGCUCAACGGAUAAAAGGUACCCCGGGGAUAACAGGCUGAUCUUCCCCAAGAGUCCAUAUCGACGGGAUGGUUUGGCACCUCGAUGUCGGCUCGUCGCAUCCUGGGGCUGGAGUCGGUCCCAAGGGUUGGGCUGUUCGCCCAUUAAAGCGGUACGCGAGCUGGGUUUAGAACGUCGUGAGACAGUUCGGUCCCUAUCCGCUGUGCGCGUAGGAAUAUUGAGAAGGGCUGUCCCUAGUACGAGAGGACCGGGACGGACGAACCUCUGGUGUGCCAGUUGUUCUGCCAAGGGCAUGGCUGGUUGGCUACGUUCGGGAGGGAUAACCGCUGAAAGCAUCUAAGCGGGAAGCCUGCUUCGAGAUGAGUAUUCCCACCUCCUUGAGAGGGUAAGGCUCCCAGUAGACGACUGGGUUGAUAGGCCGGAUAUGGAAGCCCUGUAAGGGGUGGAGUUGACCGGUACUAAUAGGCCGAGGGCUUGUCCUCAGUUG